CUCUGCGCGAAUAGUUCCUUCCCUAUAAAGCAAGCACGCGCAAAGACAUCGAGAAUAGCCGACAGAGAAGCUUCCCAUAAGUAGCAUGGAGCGUUCUUCUUCUUCUUCUUCUUCUUCUUCUUCUUCUUCUUUGCGGGCACGCGGCAGCGGCAUCGCCCUCCUGCUGGCUCUCCUACUCUGUUCCUUGGCGUGCUCGGCCGCGGUCCAAGUUUCUCUGGACGGAAACCGCGAGGGGCAACGACCUCUGGCGCCCUGGGCAUCAGGCGCGAGGUCGAAGUACUGCCCAGGCUGCAGCGAUGACGGCGCCACUCCGCCGCCACCGCUGUCUGCAACUACGUCGGCACUUGCGCCUCACCGCAAGACCCUGGGGGUUGCUGCGAGGAUCCUCCCUUCCACGAGAACCACCUAUACUAGAUGAUAUAUAUUGUUCUGUUGAUGAUGAUCAGAUGGCUAAGAGUCAAAGCAGAGAAAUCUGAGCAAAGCCUUUACGACC